UUAGGUAAAGUCUGCCCGGUGAUAAUACUUUUUAACGGCCGCAGUACUUUGACUGUGCUAAGGUAGCAAAAUAAAUAGGCUUUUAAUUGAGGUCGAGUAUGAAUGGCCUAAUGGGUGAUAACUGUCUUAUAUAUACUUUAAUUAACUUACUUAAUAGGUGAAAAUUCCUAUAUUUUAAAUAUUAGACGAGAAGACCCUUAGAGUUUUGAGGAAUUACAUUUUUAUAAUUUAUUCUUUUUGUUGGGGCGACAGAUUAUCAGUUAAACAUAAUAAAGCAAAAAGUAUACUUACGAGACUAAAUAUUAUAAAUGAAUAUAACUACCUAAGGGAUAACAGCAUAAUUUUAUUUAAGAUUGUGACCUCGAUGUUGGACUAGGGACUAAUUAUAUAAGUCAUAUAACUAGAAUAUUCUGUU
rnacentral:rRNA from 1 species